ensembl:lncRNA
GCCUCGCGUCCUUUAUGAAUGGAAUAGCAUUAGCUUUGGAGUAAUGCUGACUGUGGUUUCUCUCUUUGAGGUUCGUGCCAGGUUUGGAAAACAGUUGUCGUAGCUGUUGUCAGACGUCAACGAGGGUUUAUGUCAGAGUUAGAGAACUGUUGUCGGAGCUGCUGCUAGACCCGUCCUGAGUG